rnacentral:rRNA from 1 species
ACUCCUACGGGAGGCAGCAGUAGGGAAUCUUCCACAAUGGGCGCAAGCCUGAUGGAGCAACACCGCGUGAGUGAAGAAGGGUUUCGGCUCGUAAAGCUCUGUUGUUAAAGAAGAACACGUAUGAGAGUAACUGUUCAUACGUUGACGGUAUUUAACCAGAAAGUCACGGCUAACUACGUGCCAGCAGCCGCGGUAAUACGUAGGUGGCAAGCGUUAUCCGGAUUUAUUGGGCGUAAAGAGAGUGCAGGCGGUUUUCUAAGUCUGAUGUGAAAGCCUUCGGCUUAACCGGAGAAGUGCAUCGGAAACUGGAUAACUUGAGUGCAGAAGAGGGUAGUGGAACUCCAUGUGUAGCGGUGGAAUGCGUAGAUAUAUGGAAGAACACCAGUGGCGAAGGCGGCUACCUGGUCUGCAACUGACGCUGAGACUCGAAAGCAUGGGUAGCGAACAGGAUUAGAUACCCUGGUAGGACAGCC